rnacentral:rRNA from 1 species
GUUAGGAAUCUUCCACAAUGGGGGCAACCCUGAUGGAGCAACACCGCGUGCUGGAUGAAGGCCUUCGGGUCGUAAACAGCUUUUGUAUACGAUGAAUAUGACGGUAAUAUACGAAUAAGGGUCGGCUAACUACGUGCCAGCAGCCGCGGUCAUACGUAGGACCCAAGCGUUAUCCGGAGUGACUGGGCGUAAAGAGUUGCGUAGGCGGCUUAUUAAGCGAGUAGUGAAAUCUGGUGGCUCAACCAUCAACACAUUGCUCGAACUGAUAGGCUUGGGAAUGGUAGAGGUAGUUGGAAUUUCUUGUGUAGGAGUGAAAUCCGUAGAUAUAAGAAGGAACACCAAUGGCGUAGGCAGACUACUUGACCAUUUCUGACGCUGAGGCACGAAAGCGUGGGGAGCGAACCGGAUUAGAUACCCUUGUAGUCC